CUGAUGGAAUCUUAACUACCGGUGCUCCAUUUUAAAUCCUAGGUCUCAACAACAGCACGCGCGCACAACUCCCAAGCCAAACCCACCGCCAUGUCAACGACCACCACCACCGAAUCACCAUCAACACCACCGCAAAUCCUAAUACCCUCCCUCCCAAACGACAUCGCCUUAAACAUCUUAGCCCGCAUCCCAAGGUCCUAUCACCCACGACUUACCCUCGUCUCCAAACCUUUCCGUUCCAUCCUUUCCUCCCCUCUACUCUACACAACUCGCUCCCUCCUCAAUACCUCUCAACACUUUCUCUACCUUUCCCUCCGCAUCCCCACCACAACUUCCCUGCAGUGGUUCACGCUCUAUCCAGACCAGACAAAGAAUUCCUUAAUUCCACUCACUCCCGCACCUUCCCCUCUCGUGGGCUCCGCUUUCGCCGCUGUGGGACCCAAGAUUUAUGUCAUCGGUGGCUCGAUCAAUGACAUCCCGUCCCCCCACGUGUGGGCACUGGACUGCCGGUCCCACACGUGGGAGGCUGUCCCUAGCAUGAGAAUUUCGCGUGAGUUUGCUGCUGCUGGGGUUGUGGAUGGGAGAAUUUAUGUGAUUGGCGGUUGCGUGGUGGACACGUGGGCGAAGUCGAGGAAUUGGGCGGAGGUUUUUGAUCCGAAAACGGAGAGGUGGGAUUCUGUUGAUAGUGGAAAGGAUGAUUUGUUACGCGAAAAAUGGAUGCACGGAAGUGCUGUAGUGAACGAGAGAAUUUAUGUGAUGGCGGAUAGGAAUGGGGUUGUUUAUGAGCCGAAAACGAAGAGAUGGGAGAGUGUGGAGAGUGAAUUGGAUUUAGGGUGGAGAGGGAGAGCAUGUGUGGUUAAUGGGAUCUUGUAUUGUUAUGAUUAUGUGGGAAAUAUUAGGGGUUUUGAUGUGAGGAAUGGGGCUUGGAAGGAGCUGAGGGGGGUUGAAAAGGAGUUGCCGAGGUUUUUGUGUGGUGCCACAAUGGCGAAUGUAGGUGGGAAGUUGGUGGUGGUUUGGGAAAGAAAAGGGAAUGUGAAGGAAAUGGAGGUAUGGUGUGCGGAAAUUGAGGUGGAGGAGAAUGGAGAGGGGGAGUUGCGGGGGAGGGUUGAGUGGUGUGAUGUUGUUCAUAAGGUUCCCAUUGGGUCGUCUAUUGUUCAUUGUUUGGCUGUUUCGAUGUGAGGAUCUAUCGCAGCGCACCAACAUAAGAAGAACAGGGGAUCACGACAUGAAAAAUUGCUUAGGAGAUUCACUAUUCUAAAAUCAGCUAGGAGAUGUUUCUUUCGUGGAUAGGAGGAAGCACUUCAGGAGAGGAUCAAGGAUUUUUGUGGCAAAGAAGACUAGAGGAAAGACACCAUUUGAAAAUUAGUCGUAUAUGUUCCUAAAUUUUGACGGGAUUGUGGAUCCGACCAGAUCCACAAUCCCAUCAAGACUUUGGAGCACAUAUGACAGGUUCUCAGAAUGGCCAAUAUUCAUGGGGUGAGCGCGAUAUCUCAAUGGCUCUUCUGGACAGUGUUUUAAGAACAGCGAAUAAUGAUCUUGCAGCGCAUCGAGCACACAAAUUAUGAUUGUUUAUUAAUCAUACUCAGAGUACUGAUCCCUGAGGUUAGAAGCCUGGAGAAAAUUACAGAAUUUAGACCUGUUAGUUUAUUAAGCCUUGUAUAAAAUCAUCUCAAAGAGUAUUUGCUAUCAGGCUUAAAACUUUUUACCAGAGAUUUGGACAGCUAGCCAUAUGGAAAGAUUGAAUGGAUGUCAGGGUUAACUUCGAGGAUUUGUUAUGGACAGUAAUGGGUAUGGAGGUUGUAGAUCUGAUGGGGUUCCUGUCUCGCUUCUUUGAUGGAAUAGAAAUAGUGUAGCUUUUGGCAAACGAGUUCUGUCAGCACAAGAAAUUGAUUCAAAAGCUUUAGCAUAUCUGAAGGGUUUCCUUGAAGCUUGUGCUUUUCGAGAACCUACCAUCCGCUCCUAUUCUUGGGUUUAUGAAGAUGAAUGAUGGUGGGACGUGGGAUGGAGACAGCGGAACUGCCGGAUAUGGUAUUUUCUUUCAUGGAAAAGGCGAGUUUCUGGCUGGUUUUUGAAAGAAAGAUCUUCCUUAAAACAUCGACUAAGAAGAUAUUACUGUUUUCGUCAAUAUCGACUACCAGAUCAAACUGGGGGCAGCAAUUUGGAAAUGGAGGCCAAGCUUGUCGCUAGCUUAUUCUGCAUGCAAGUUUCUUUGGAAGUGCUCUCUUCUUGCAAGUGCUAAGACCCUAAUCCGUACUGAUCGA